UACGUAGGGCGCAAGCGUUGUCCGGAAUUAUUGGGCGUAAAGAGCUCGUAGGCGGCCUGUUGCGUCCGCUGUGAAAUCCCGGGGCUCAACCCCCGGGCCUGCAGUGGAUACGGGCUGGCUAGAGGCAGGCAGGGGAGAACGGAAUUCCUGGUGUAGCGGUGAAAUGCGUAGAUAUCAGGAGGAACACCUGUGGUGUAGACGGCUUUCUGGACCAUUGCUGACGCUGAGACACGAAAGCGUGGGUAGCAAACAGG
rnacentral:rRNA from 1 species